rnacentral:misc_RNA from 1 species
AAUGAAGAACGUAGCGAAAUGCGAAAAGUAGUGUGAAUUGCAGAAUUCAGUGAAUCAUCGAAUCUUUGAACGCACAUUGCGCCCCUUGGUAUUCCGAGGGGCAUGCCUGUUCGAGCGUCAUUAUAACCCCUCAAGCUCAGCUUGGUGUUGGGGCCUGCUGCACUGGCAGCCCUUAAAAUCAGUGGCGGCGCCAUCUGGCUCUAAGCGUAGUAAUUCUUCUCGCUAUGGAGUCCUGGUGGAUGCUUGCCAUCAACCCCCAAUUUUUCUAUGGUUGACCUCGGAUCAGGUAGGGAUACCCGCUGAACUUAAGCAUAUCAAUAAGCGGAGAA